rnacentral:tRNA from 1 species
UCCCUGGUGGUCUAGCGGCUAAGGAUCAAGCGCUCUCAGUACCGUGGCCCGGGUUCGAUUCCCGGGCAGGGAA